GACAGAGGGUGCAAACGUUGUUCGGAAUUACUGGGCGUAAAGCGUGUGUAGGCGGUCCGCUAAGUCGGGUGUGAAAGCCCUGGGCUCAACCCAGGAAGUGCAUUCGAAACUGGCGGGCUAGAGUAUCGGAGAGGUUGGUGGAAUUCUCGGUGUAGAGGUGAAAUUCGUAGAUAUCGAGAGGAACACCGGUGGCGAAGGCGGCCAACUGGACGAAUACUGACGCUGAGACACGAAAGCGUGGGGAGCAAACAGG
rnacentral:rRNA from 1 species